rnacentral:rRNA from 1 species
UACGUAGGGUGCGAGCGUUAAUCGGAAUUACUGGGCGUAAAGCGUGCGCAGGCGGUGAUGUAAGACAGGUGUGAAAUCCCCGGGCUUAACCUGGGAACUGCAUUUGUGACUGCAUCGCUGGAGUGCGGCAGAGGGGGAUGGAAUUCCGCGUGUAGCAGUGAAAUGCGUAGAGAUGUGGAGGAACACCGAUGGCGAAGGCAGCCCCCUGGGUUAACACUGACGCUCAGGCACGAAAGCGUGGGGAGCAAACAGG